AUAGUGUUAGGGACGACAUCAAAAGUUCAAUGUAGGAUAAAAAACUUAAUUCACAUAGUUUUUUCACUGACACCCCCACCCCCUCUUAACUUAAUUUGGGAAAAAUUGAUUUACCAAUAGGGAUAUAUGUAAAAAUCGAUUUUAGAUAUAAAAAACUUGUAGAAUUUUAACCCCCCACCCCCAAACUAUUUGAUUUAAGUUUUUUAUCCUACAUCGAUCUUUUGAUGUCCUCCCUUAUAUGAAUAUUAUCGGAAGGACAUACUCCUACAAAAACUUAGUAUCAGUGUUAAAUGAAUAUAUCCGAAGGACAUACUCCUACCAAAAUUGAGUACAAGUGUUAUAUGAACGUAAUCGGAAGGACAUACUUGUAUAAAGGUCAUCACAUGUAUGAAUUUUUGCAUACCACACUUGUAAAGAUCAUAACAUUCAUGAUUUCUCGUGUAUCUAUUGUCACUUAAUCCUUCACUCAACACAUGUACACCACUUUUGUAAAUUUCAUGAAUUCUCGUGUGCCUAUAAAAGUGACUUUUUCCACUAAAUUAUUUACCGAUACAGGUAAAUGUGCAUGCAAUUAUUCAUCACAAGUAUGGGUUAUAAUGUCUUUACGAUAAUAACCGUCGGAACUAAAGCUUGUACCCAUACGUCACAUUUUAGGUCUUCUUUUAUCAGUAUGUGUUUUUGUAUGUCUCAGACAAUUACUGAUUCUGCCAACUCUUUUUCAAAAUAUCACAUCUUAUCUUUUCAAGUAUGGAUUUUCAUGUGUUUAUUACGAUUGCUUUUGUGACCAAAUGCUUUACCACAUACAUCACAUCUGUAAGGUUUUUCGCCAGUAUGUGUUAUCAUGUGUGUACGACAAGAACUGCUUUGGCCAAAUUCUUUUCCACAAAUAUAACAUGCGUAAGGUUUUUCGCCAGUAUGUUUUUUCAUGUGUACAUUAUAGUUGCUCUUGGCACUAAAUUCUUUACCACAUUCAUCACAUUUGUAAGGUUUUUCACCAGUAUGUGUUCUCAUGUGAAUUAGACAACUAUCUUUUUUGCCAAACUUUUUUUCACAAAUAUCACAUUUGUAAGGUUUUUCGCCAGUAUGUGUUCUCAUGUGAGUUAGACAAUUCUUUUUUCUGCGAAACUGUUUUCCACAAACAUCACAUCUGUAAGGUUGUUCACCAGUAUGCUUUCUCAUGUGAAUUCGACAGGCGCUUUCUCGGUGAAACUCUUGAUCACAAAAAACACAUUUAAAAUGUUUUUCCCCAGUAUGAAUUCUCAUGUGUUCAUUAUAGUUGCCUUUCUGACCAAAUUCCUUAUCACAUACAUCACAUUUGUAAGGUUUUUCGCUAGUAUGUGUUCUCAUGUGAACUUUACAGUUAUUUUUUUGGCAAAAUUCCUUUCCACAAAUAUCACAUUUGUAAGGUUUUCCACCAGUAUGGAUUUUCUUGUGUAUAUUAUAAUUGCCUUUAUGACCAAAUACUUUUCCACAUUUAUCACAUUUGUAAGGUGUUUCGCCAGUAUGUUUUCUCAAAUGAACUUUACAGUUACUGUUUUGGACAAAUCCUUUUCCACAAAUAUCACAUUUGUAAGGUUUUUCACCAGUAUGGAUUUUCUUGUGUAUAUUAUAAUUGCCUUUGCUACUAAAUUCUUUACAACAUUCAUCACAUUUGUAAGGUUGUUUACCAGUAAGAUUUUUCAUUUGACGUAGACAAGAACUUUUUCGGUGAAACUCUUUGUCUGCAGUAGCCUCUUUACUGGACAUAACUAAGUGUUAC
rnacentral:lncRNA from 1 species